AGCAGCCGCGGUAAUUCCAGCUCCAAUAGCGUAUAUUAAAGUUGUUGCAGUUAAAAAGCUCGUAGUUGAAUUUCGGGACUAAUAUGUCGGUCGUGCCUCGGUACGUACUGGCUUAUUGGUUUCUCCUUUCUGAAGAACCAUGAUGUCAUUUAUUUGGUGUCGUGGGGAAUCAGGACUGUUACUUUGAAAAAAUUAGAGUGUUUAAAGCAGGCUCACGCUUGAAUACAUUAGCAUGGAAUAAUGAAAUAGGACGUUUGAUUCUAUUUUGUUGGUUUCUAGGAUCGACGUAAUGAUUAAUAGGGAUAGUUGGGGGCAUUAGUAUUCAAUUGUCAGAGGUGAAAUUCCUGGAUUUAUUGAAGACUAACUACUGCGAAAGCAUUUGCCAAGGAUGUUUUCAUUAAUCAAGAACGAAAGUUAGGGGAUCGAAGACGAUCAGAUACCGUCGUAGUCUUAACCAUAAACUAUGCCGACUAGGGAUCGGAUGAUGUUAAUUUUUUAAUGACUCAUUCGGCGCCUUACG
rnacentral:rRNA from 1 species